UUGGGCACCCUUUGCAGAAUCUGUGAAAAUGCUGAGUAAUUUUCAAAAAAAUAAGAGAUCAUACUAAAUGCAUGUUAUAUUUUAUUUAGUACUGUCCUGAGUAAGAUAUUGUACAUAAAAGAUAUUAACAUUUAGUCCACAAGACAAAAAAAAUGCUGAAAUUAUUAAAAUAACCCCACUCAAAAGUUUGGGAACCCUUGGUUCUUAGUACUGUGUGUGGUCACCUGAUUAUCCACGACUGUCUUUCUGUUUUGUGAUGGUUGUGCAUAAGUCCCUUGUUUGUUCUGAACAGUUAAACUGAGCAGCGUUCUUCAGAAAAAUCUUUAAGGUCCUGCAGAUUCUUCAGUUUUCCAGCAUCUUUGCAUAUUUGAACCCUUUCAAGCAGUGACUUUAUGAUUUUGAGAUGCAUCUUUUCAGACUGAGGACAUUUGAGGGACUCAAACACAACUAUUUAAAAAGAUUCAAACAUUCACUGAUGCUCCAGAAGGAAACAAGAUGCAUUAAGAGCUGGGGGGUGAAAACAUUUGAACACGAUGAAGAUGGCCAAAUUUGUCUUAUUUUGUUGAAAUAUAAUUUUUUUCCAUUUAAUGCAUCUCAAAAUCAUAAAGUCACUGCUGGAAAGGGUUCAAAUAUGCAAAGAUGCUGGAAAACUGAAGAAUCUGCAGGACCUUAAAGAUUUUUCUGAAGAACGGUGCUCAGUUUAACUGUUCAGAACAAACAAUGGACUCAUGCACAACCAUCACAAAACAGAAAGACAGUCGUGGAUAAUCAGGUAACAGAACACAGUACUAAGAACCAAGGGUUCCCAAACUUUUAAGGGGGUUAUUUUAAUAAUUUCAGCAAUUUUUUUGUCUUGUGGACUAAAUGUUAAUAUCUUUUAUGUACAAUAGCUUACUCAGGACAGUACUAAAUAAAAAAUAACAUGCAUUUA